AGGUGGCCGAGCGGCUGAAGGCGCCCGCCUGCUAAGCGGGUAAUGGGUUUAUAGCUCAUUCGAGGGUUCGAAUCCCUCCCUCUCCG
rnacentral:tRNA from 1 species